GGGAAUCUUUCUGACACAAACAUGGAAUCAUAGAGCUGGAAGAGACCACAAAGGUGACCUGGUUCAAGAAGCCACUGCACCUGCGGAAUUGCUCAAUGGACAGUUUCCAGGAAGGACGAGGGGGAAAAUCCAACAAAAUCCAUGCUGCAGUCUCCUGAAAAAGCCGCAAUGAUUCGAGAAAAAUGAGAGAAAAUGUUGGCCAUGACCCAAAAGUGAGAUAAUGCGCAGUUACUGUGAUGCGACCCUUGUGGCCUGAUUCUAAUGGACUUAGUCAGUAUGUAGGUGGGAACGCUGUUAAUACAUCGCCACAGCCUUCUAGUCCCACCCCAGUGAAAUAAAUCCCCCAGAUGUUUUUGCACUGCUAUUAGAGUGAUUCAUAACAGCAUGCUUAACAGAAGUGCUUCUCCUUGGCCCUAGUGAUGAAUGAGUUCUCCUAUGCCACCAACCAUGUGCAUAGUGAGAACAAGGGCUAUUUUAAUGUUUCUGGCCUUCCUCCAUGCCCUAACUACUUUGUCUUAUUGCCUUUCUCCAGCAAAUACCAUGAAACAGAGGCGGAGAGCUGAAGGGAGCUCUUAAAUUCGGCUUUGACUGCCAAUGUACAAUAGAUUCUUCCUCUGCUCACAAGGGGAAGCUUCACUGCAAAUACCUUUCUAUUCAAGAAGCUAGAAAAUAAUGUACGCAAUCACAAGCACACAGUUAUUCCAUGAAGCAGUGAUGUCAAGAAAAAAUUAUAUAUAUGUGUGUGUUCCUAAGAUGUAACUGUAUGCAAAUGGCAGGAAACAGUGGCCCAGAGGCACUAGAGAAGGUCCCUGGGAUGGCUGAAAAAUCAGAAAAUCCUUAUUUAUUUAUUUAUUUAAUCUCCCAAUCAGUCACUCCAAAAAUGCAGUUUCCUUAUAUGUUUGGCUCACAAACUAAAAGGACAAUGGGUUCCCCUGAACUAUGAAGACGAAAAUCCACUGCUUGUGGUGAUAUGAAAAUAAUCAAACAAACUCAAUGUAUAUCCAAAAAUCAAUGUCUAUCCAAAAAACAGGACUAUCCCAAUCGCAUAUAAGUAGAAAUCAGCAGUUCUUCUUUUGAAGUAUAAGGACAAGUUUUUCAUGUGAGUAAAUGUCCUGUUCUUUAUUGUUAUGGUUGAGCCUUAUGGCUCCGAUACUGGGAGACGAGGUCGUAAGACUCCUCGAGAGUCAGACUCUCUUGAGGAGCGCGAAAGGAAACGGCUCCGAGACUUAUUUGCAGAACCAACAGACGAAGACUCCUUUGAGGGUUUUACCGAGGGAAUGGAGGAAGAGAUGGUUAGCUCAGAGGAGGAUGACAUGGAAUGGACUCGUGUGAGGGAGGAUUUGGGUGUCACCGGCAAUGAUAGCAUGGGAGGCGACUGGCGGGUUGCAGGAUCGGACCCGUGGACGGGCUGGAGGGAUGGAACGGGAUCCACAGCUGGGGAUGCUGUGGGGCGUAGUCAAAGGUGUUUUAGCUCUGAUGAGGAUGAUGAUGAUGAGGCACCUGGAAUUAGGAUAGCAGCUGAUAGUGAUGAGGAGUUAUGAACUGGCAUAAAAUGGGGUUUAGAAUCAAUGGCUAAUUGCGUUGGGCAAGGUAAUCUGGACGAACGCUUGGGCUCUUGUUGGGGAAAUUCCUGAAGACGGGUGUGAUUCGUUUGCUGAAUAAGUAAGUUACCAAGGACACUGGGCAUAGACGGCGGGAGGAACUGUGUGGGCUUUUGCUGUGCAACCUGUGUUUAAUCUUGAUAGCUUGGACCUCCGUCGUCUUUUUGACGGACAUUAAUUGUCUACUCUGGAUUGACGCUGGACUGACUGACUGACUACGACCUCGGACUAUCCCUUCUGUGGCUAUCGGUGGAACUGGUGAACUAAAGACGUCUGUACCUGGCUUUCGACCUUGGACCGGAUUGGGACCCUGCUGACCGCUGCUACCCUGAUUGAUGUGUUUGGACCCGGAGUUCGCUCGUUGCACGGAGGAGUAACAACUUAGUUACUCAAUCGUAGCUUUUGAGUAGCAGAGAGGAAUCUGCUGCCAGUUAUUUGUGUUUCAUUGAAUCUUUGUUUACCAACUUUUGUUUGUUUAAAGUACCAGGCUGAAGUAAGCAUUUUUGAUUUAACCCGGAUUAAACUCCUGUUUAAUCCGGUUUAUCUUUUGAACCGUUUUUAGUAUCAGCGGAGUCUUAUUGUAUCUUUUCACAUUGAAGGCAAGUGUUUGCCUAGCCCUUUGUUUCUUACGGGCAUUUUUGGUUCUGUAACUUUAAUAAACUGUGUUGAACCUUA